rnacentral:rRNA from 1 species
AACGAACGCUGGCGGCAUGCCUAACACAUGCAAGUCGAACGAGACCUUCGGGUCUAGUGGCGCACGGGUGCGUAACGCGUGGGAACCUGCCCUUAGGUUCGGAAUAACUCCCCGAAAGGGGUGCUAAUACCGGAUAAUGUCUUCGGACCAAAGAUUUAUCGCCUUUGGUUGGGCCCGCGUUGGGUUAGCUAGUUGGUAGGGUAAAAGCCUACCAAGGCGACGAUCCAUAGCUGGUCUGAGAGGAUGAUCAGCCACACUGGGACUGGGGCACGGCCCAGACUCCUGGGGGAGGGGGGGAGGGGUGAAAUAGGGCAGGGGGCGAAAUCCUGACCCGCCAAGGCCGGGAGGGGGAUGAAGGCCUUGGGGUUGUAAUGCUCUUUUACCCGGGAUUGAAAGGGCGGUACCGGGAAAAAAAGCCCCGGCAAACCCCGG